AUCAUGGCUCAGGAUGAACGCUAGCUACAGGCUUAACACAUGCAAGUCGAGGGAAACGAUAGAGAAAGCUUGCUUUUUCUAGGCGUCGACCGGCGCACGGGUGAGUAACGCGUAUCCAACCUGCCCACCACUUGGGGAUAACCUUGCGAAAGUAAGACUAAUACCCAAUGACGUCUCUAGAAGACAUCUGAAAGAGAUUAAAGAUUUAUCGGUGAUGGAUGGGGAUGCGUCUGAUUAGCUUGUUGGCGGGGUAACGGCCACCAAGGCGACGAUCAGUAGGGGUUCUGAGAGGAAGGUCCCCCACAUUGGAACUGAGACACGGUCCAAACUCCUACGGGAGGCAGCAGUGAGGAAUAUUGGUCAAUGGACGAGAGUCUGAACCAGCCAAGUAGCGUGCAGGAUGACGGCCCUAUGGGUUGUAAACUGCUUUUAUAAGGGAAUAAAGUGAGUCUCGUGAGGCUUUUUGCAUGUACCUUAUGAAUAAGGACCGGCUAAUUCCGUG
rnacentral:rRNA from 1 species